GGCCAUAGCUCAGCAUUAGAGCAUCUGCUUUGCAAGCAGAAGGUCCUGGGUUCAACCCCCAGCAUCUCCA